rnacentral:lncRNA from 1 species
AAAAAGUUUGCUGACUUUGUGCCAGAGUCAAAGAUGCUUGUCAGUCAACGAUGCUUCCCGAAACUGCCUUAAAAUUCACAUUCCUCCUUGCUGGGAUCCAAAGGCCAAAAGAGCUCUGAUGAAUAGAGAAGUUCAGGAUUGGAAGGAGGCGUUAGUGGGCAUCCAGAGCAAUUACUCAUUUGAGGCCAGCAUCUCCCAAGGGUACCUCCUCAAGAGAUCCUCUGGUGGUGGAGGCACAUCAUUUCCUGAAGCAGCCAACUCACCUUCUUUGGGAAGUUCUGGCUGUUGGAAAAUGACUUCUUACCCUGAGCUAAAAUCUGGUGGGCAGAAAAAAUUGUUCAAAUUUUAUUAUUCAUGGUCCCAUUUCCAGCCUUUGGAGGAAGAAGACUCCAUCACCAGCCAGGUGGGCCAUGCUGCCUGCCUUGUGUGGAGCAGCGUGAUGAGCGGGGAGGAGAUCUGCACAAGUUGGAGCACUCUGCGUGGGAAAAGGUGCUGGAUGCCCUAGAGAGAAAGAUCCUGAGAAGGAAUGCUGGAGGGGCAUGGCUGGACAGGGAUGCGGCGGGAGAGGAGCUGCAGAUGAAACUCAGGCUUUGGAAAGCAAAACAAACAAUCAAACAAAUAAAGAGAGAGCGGAUUAUGGACCUCCAUCAAUGGUGCCAAAGGAAAAAAAAAGCUAACAGGGGUGAAGGUGCUGGUAAAGAUGCAGAAAAGGACACUUUGGAGCAUUGGAUGGACAAAGGACAGUAGGGAAGAUGUUUUACCCACAGUGAAGUACACGGGAAUGACCUCGGGUCGCAUGCAGCCUCUGUAUUAAAUAACAUCAACACAUAUUGGGAGAGAGUUGUGGCCCUUUUCAAUGCUGAGUAGAGCAAGGAGAAAAUCUCCUGUGGUGCAAGCAUGAUUUUAACACCUUUUAACACUUGCUCUGCUGCCAUUUCAACAGAGAGGGGCAAGCAGCAGGCAGGGGUCCUUGGGGCGUCAAUAGCACCCAGCUAGAAUUUUCUUAGGUUGUUUUGUUUUCUUUUAGUUAUAUUUCUAUCUUUGGCACGUGAUUUUGGUUUUCUGCUUAAGGUAGUGAUAAGGGGUCCCUUUUAAAUACAUGCGUUUAAGUAAAGAAAGUCAACUUAAAGAAGAAUAGUUGAGUAAAUAAUAAGAUUGGUGGUAUGUAGAUGUGGCAAAAAUGAUGAAAUGGCACUAAAAUGAUUGAAAUUUGGGGAUGUUGUAGUGGAUUAUUUCUAAAUGUGUCUCCCAUCUCAGACAAUUUAUGACUUUAAUGCCAUCAUUUGAGAAUCAUGGGAAAAUUAGAAUUGUGCAAUUUUAGAACAGAAAGGGAUUAUCUAGUCCAACCUCCUCAUUUCACAGUUGAUGAAGUGGAGGUUUAAAGGGACGUGACUGGCCCAAGGUCACAAAGGGUUCUGUGGUUAAUAAUCUGUGUGUGUCUGCCUGCGUGUGUGUGUGUGUGUGUGUGUGUAUGGACUGGUGGGGGGAAGUUGGAAUGGUGUUAGAGGAGGGCCAGAUAAUAGCCUAGAUAUGGAGCUGCUUUAAAUAAUUUGGGUUGUCUUGAUACCAUGGAAGGAAAGAGGGAAGAGGAGGGGGAGACAAUCUUUGAACAAAAUGAAAACCCCUAAACCAGAAGUGUUGAAAAAUCCUUAAAAUCUAAGUUUCUACUGCUCGCUGCAGCAGCGAGGACAAGAGCUGGCUUGUUUCCCCCAAUAAUCGCAGCAGUAGCUUUUUGCUGCGGAAUGUGGCGUUAAAUACAAUAGGUCAGCACUGAGCUUGAACAAAAUGUGAUGACUGAUUAGGAAAUGAAUGGUAAGUCAUGGACGGCAAGUCCUGAUUGUGGUGAUGCUUAUCAACACCUCCCCUCCCCACCGGAACAAACAAAGCUGCAAAGCUGCAGUAGCAGCUGACAAAACUGAAUCCAGAUGUCCUUGUCCUGAGGACAAUUUAAUUCUGGCUAUGACAGUCAUCUGUGAGGAAAUCAGGUGUCUCAGGGAGAAAAGACUCAAGUGGGCUUCAGGUAAUUCAGGACCUGCUCUGGGGGAGGCCAUGGCCCCCUGCCUCCUUCUCAUUGUGAGGUCAGCUCUGAGUCUUGCUUUCCUAUGGAUAUACUGAGAUGAUAAAAGUGAGAUGUAGUCCAGGAUUAAAGGCAGCUCCCCCUUGUGGAUGGGGCUGGGAGAUCAGUCCGUGGUCCUGAGCAGCAAUUUAUACAUUGAUGGAAUGAAUGACCACAAGGCUGGGUAUAUCAAUCAAUGGACCUUGCAUGGUGCUUGGCAUACAGCGACUCACUGCUCACUCAUACUCCUGUGUGGACAAGCCACUCAGUUUUUUCAGUGUCACUAUUUCUUCAUGCCUAAUAUUCAGAUAAGAAAUUGUGUCCUACAAAUAUGUUAUCGAGAUAUGAUGUGAGAGAUGAGGCUAGUGAGUGUGGUGGUUGCCUUUUCAUUCAUUCACUCAUUAAAUCAUUCAUUCAUUCAACCAGCUGAUAUUUAUUAAUCACAUAGUGGAGAGAUAACCUAGGCCCCCUCCUCCCAGAGGUUAAGAUCUAGUGAGGAAGUCAGAUAACAACUAUGUAAAUAAAUAGAUAACCAAGAUAAUGCUUUCCA